rnacentral:rRNA from 1 species
GGUUAAGCGACUAAGCGUACACGGUGGAUGCCCUGGCAGUCAGAGGCGAUGAAGGACGUGCUAAUCUGCGAUAAGCGUCGGUAAGGUGAUAUGAACCGUUAUAACCGGCGAUUUCCGAAUGGGGAAACCCAGUGUGUUUCGACACACUAUCAUUAACUGAAUCCAUAGGUUAAUGAGGCGAACCGGGGGAACUGAAACAUCUAAGUACCCCGAGGAAAAGAAAUCAACCGAGAUUCCCCCAGUAGCGGCGAGCGAACGGGGAGCAGCCCAGAGCCUGAAUCAGUGUGUGUGUUAGUGGAAGCGUCUGGAAAGGCGCGCGAUACAGGGUGACAGCCCCGUACACAAAAAUGCACAUACUGUGAGCUCGAUGAGUAGGGCGGGACACGUGGUAUCCUGUCUGAAUAUGGGGGGACCAUCCUCCAAGGCUAAAUACUCCUGACUGACCGAUAGUGAACCAGUACCGUGAGGGAAAGGCGAAAAGAACCCCGGCGAGGGGAGUGAAAAAGAACCUGAAACCGUGUACGUACAAGCAGUGGGAGCACGCUUAGGCGUGUGACUGCGUACCUUUUGUAUAAUGGGUCAGCGACUUAUAUUCUGUAGCAAGGUUAACCGAAUAGGGGAGCCGAAGGGAAACCGAGUCUUAACUGGGCGUUAAGUUGCAGGGUAUAGACCCGAAACCCGGUGAUCUAGCCAUGGGCAGGUUGAAGGUUGGGUAACACUAACUGGAGGACCGAACCGACUAAUGUUGAAAAAUUAGCGGAUGACUUGUGGCUGGGGGUGAAAGGCCAAUCAAACCGGGAGAUAGCUGGUUCUCCCCGAAAGCUAUUUAGGUAGCGCCUCGUGAAUUCAUCUCCGGGGGUAGAGCACUGUUUCGGCAAGGGGGUCAUCCCGACUUACCAACCCGAUGCAAACUGCGAAUACCGGAGAAUGUUAUCACGGGAGACACACGGCGGGUGCUAACGUCCGUCGUGAAGAGGGAAACAACCCAGACCGCCAGCUAAGGUCCCAAAGUCAUGGUUAAGUGGGAAACGAUGUGGGAAGGCCCAGACAGCCAGGAUGUUGGCUUAGAAGCAGCCAUCAUUUAAAGAAAGCGUAAUAGCUCACUGGUCGAGUCGGCCUGCGCGGAAGAUGUAACGGGGCUAAACCAUGCACCGAAGCUGCGGCAGCGACGCUUAUGCGUUGUUGGGUAGGGGAGCGUUCUGUAAGCCUGCGAAGGUGUGCUGUGAGGCAUGCUGGAGGUAUCAGAAGUGCGAAUGCUGACAUAAGUAACGAUAAAGCGGGUGAAAAGCCCGCUCGCCGGAAGACCAAGGGUUCCUGUCCAACGUUAAUCGGGGCAGGGAGAGUCGACCCCUAAGGCGAGGCCGAAAGGCGUAGUCGAUGGGAAACAGGUUAAUAUUCCUGUACUUGGUGUUACUGCGAAGGGGGGACGGAGAAGGCUAUGUUGGCCGGGCGACGGUUGUCCCGGUUUAAGCGUGUAGGCUGGUUUUCCAGGCAAAUCCGGAAAAUCAAGGCUGAGGCGUGAUGACGAGGCACUACGGUGCUGAAGCAACAAAUGCCCUGCUUCCAGGAAAAGCCUCUAAGCAUCAGGUAACAUCAAAUCGUACCCCAAACCGACACAGGUGGUCAGGUAGAGAAUACCAAGGCGCUUGAGAGAACUCGGGUGAAGGAACUAGGCAAAAUGGUGCCGUAACUUCGGGAGAAGGCACGCUGAUAUGUAGGUGAAGUCCCUCGCGGAUGGAGCUGAAAUCAGUCGAAGAUACCAGCUGGCUGCAACUGUUUAUUAAAAACACAGCACUGUGCAAACACGAAAGUGGACGUAUACGGUGUGACGCCUGCCCGGUGCCGGAAGGUUAAUUGAUGGGGUCAGCGCAAGCGAAGCUCUUGAUCGAAGCCCCGGUAAACGGCGGCCGUAACUAUAACGGUCCUAAGGUAGCGAAAUUCCUUGUCGGGUAAGUUCCGACCUGCACGAAUGGCGUAAUGAUGGCCAGGCUGUCUCCACCCGAGACUCAGUGAAAUUGAACUCGCUGUGAAGAUGCAGUGUACCCGCGGCAAGACGGAAAGACCCCGUGAACCUUUACUAUAGCUUGACACUGAACAUUGAGCCUUGAUGUGUAGGAUAGGUGGGAGGCUUUGAAGUGUGGACGCCAGUCUGCAUGGAGCCGACCUUGAAAUACCACCCUUUAAUGUUUGAUGUUCUAACGUUGACCCGUAAUCCGGGUUGCGGACAGUGUCUGGUGGGUAGUUUGACUGGGGCGGUCUCCUCCUAAAGAGUAACGGAGGAGCACGAAGGUUGGCUAAUCCUGGUCGGACAUCAGGAGGUUAGUGCAAUGGCAUAAGCCAGCUUGACUGCGAGCGUGACGGCGCGAGCAGGUGCGAAAGCAGGUCAUAGUGAUCCGGUGGUUCUGAAUGGAAGGGCCAUCGCUCAACGGAUAAAAGGUACUCCGGGGAUAACAGGCUGAUACCGCCCAAGAGUUCAUAUCGACGGCGGUGUUUGGCACCUCGAUGUCGGCUCAUCACAUCCUGGGGCUGAAGUAGGUCCCAAGGGUAUGGCUGUUCGCCAUUUAAAGUGGUACGCGAGCUGGGUUUAGAACGUCGUGAGACAGUUCGGUCCCUAUCUGCCGUGGGCGCUGGAGAACUGAGGGGGGCUGCUCCUAGUACGAGAGGACCGGAGUGGACGCAUCACUGGUGUUCGGGUUGUCAUGCCAAUGGCACUGCCCGGUAGCUAAAUGCGGAAGAGAUAAGUGCUGAAAGCAUCUAAGCACGAAACUUGCCCCGAGAUGAGUUCUCCCUGACUCCUUGAGAGUCCUGAAGGAACGUUGAAGACGACGACGUUGAUAGGCCGGGUGUGUAAGCGCAGCGAUGCGUUGAGCUAACCGGUACUAAUGAACCGUGAGGCUUAACCUU